rnacentral:rRNA from 1 species
UACGUAGGGUGCGAGCGUUAAUCGGAAUUACUGGGCGUAAAGCGUGCGCAGGCGGUUAUUUAAGUCAGGUGUGAAAGCCCUGGGCUUAACCUAGGAAUUGCGCUUGAGACUGGAUAGCCUGGAGUGCGGCAGAGGGAGGUGGAAUUCCACGUGUAGCAGUGAAAUGCGUAGAGAUGUGGAGGAACACCGAUGGCGAAGGCAGCCUCCUGGGCCAGCACUGACGCUCAUGCACGAAAGCGUGGGGAGCAAACGGG